AGCUUCGAAGAAGCUGCGAAGAUGGAAAAGUGGAAACUUGGCAGACAGAUCCAGCCUCCCUGGCCAUUGGCCCAUGCUCGUGGCUCCUGGACGGUGCUGCCCACGUUCUGAGCAGCUCGGGACAGGUGGAGAUCAGGACUGGCAGCUGCAAGGACAGACCAGAGCCACAGAAACUAAAGAGAAUUUCCAAAAGGAGGCUAUGGUGAAGUCUCUGAUGAUGCAAAGAAGACAAGGAGAAUGGAAAUCCAAUGAAAGCCUGAUUAUAUUUGUUGACCUUAAGGAGAGUGAUUUUAUGGCACAGCCUCUCUGGAAGGGAGGGUGUGUUCGCUCACAGUGUGCAAAUACCCUUUGACCCAGUAAUCUUUCUUCUAGGAGUUUCUCCUACAGAUAAAUUUAGAAUGGUGCUCAAAUAACUAAGUUCAAGGAUAUCCUCUGAAGCAUUGUUGUAGUAUAAAAAGAUCAUAGAUAUCCUCAAAGGAUAUCAUUAGGGGCCUGGUAAAAUAAAUUCCACACAUGGAAACACCAUGAAGCUCUUUAGAGAAUAAACAGCUCUCUAUAUGUGA